CAAUACAUGGCCAAAAUUAGUCAAGAAAUUCGGCCAUUACACCUCCUUUUUAAAGGGAUAAAGAUCAGAUCUUUUGCUUCAUUUUUACCUUGCAAAAUUUUCAGAUUUCUUAAGUUCUCUCUUGGUCUCUCUUGGCUUCAAUUAGCAGCCCUAGAACACCUUGGGUUCUUGAGUAUUGCCCCCUUUCCAAGUAAAAGUUUGAAGGAGAGUUUCAGUUCUUGAAGUACAAGUUUAGAGGAUAAAUUCCCAAACACUAAGAUUAGCACCCAAGAAGGGAGGCUGAAUCGUGACAAUUGGAUUGGUCCGAAAAUAAGGCACAGGUACUCCCGCUAGUAGACCUCCUCAAUAGGAGCAUACGACACUCAGCUACUUUUGCGAAGAUGCCGGUUACGAGAAAGAGUAAAAGUUCGGGUAAGCGAGUGGAUGUGGCUGCCCAAGAAGGGACCAGCCAACCACCACCUAGUCUUGAUGUUCAUGGUGAGGCUCAAGAUGAGUCUCUAUCACAGACU